rnacentral:misc_RNA from 1 species
GUGAGUCAUCGAAUCUUUGAACGCACAUUGCGCCCUUUGGUAUUCCGAAGGGCAUGCCUGUUCGAGCGUCAUUAUCACCCCCUCAAGCCCUGUGCUUGGUGUUGGAUGGCUUGGUCGCGUCACCGCGACCCCUCCGAAAGACAAUGACGGCGGCCUGUGGUUCCCCCGGUACACUGAGCUUUUAACUGAGCACGUAUCGGACAAGGGCGCCCGGCACCCGGUCCUCUCCUUUAAAGGAAACUUCUAUGGUUGACCUCGGAUCAGGUAGGAAUACGCGCUGAACUUAAGCAUAUCAAUAAG